GAUGGAAAAUGUAGGGUAUUGUACAGCCAACCAGGUAUAGGGGAUGAUUAGGUGGUCAGAGGUGGGGAGUCUGUUUUUUGCGUGAAUUUAGCAAGGACCCCUUCUUCCACACUGUGCUGGGACACUGGAUUUCUGUUUGGUCCAUAGGGAAGAGUGCCCCCUACUGGCCCAACAACACCUCUUCAAGCUGCAACUUGGUUUUCCCAAGAGGUCUCCCAUCCCAGUAAGAACCAAAUAAACACAGAUUUCAAAACACAGAGCUUGUCUAAAUAUUUCAAGUAAUUAGGGCUUGGUGUUUUU